CAGUGUCUUUGCUGGGGAGCACCUGAGCUCCAGUAGGGUUUGGGUUUUAGAGAAGGAAGAGAUCAGAUAAAACACGCUUUUUUGCGAACCCUCCUAGAAAGAGUUAAUAGCGGUCUAUCUGCAGAUGUCCUGAUGGAGUGAAGGCAAGCCAUGAUAUUUUAUAUCAUUUUGAUAUCCGGUCUAAAUUAGGCCUGAGGGAAAGACUGUGGCCUAUUUAACCCAGCAUCUGUCAGUUAUCAUUAUUUUCAGCCAACUUUAGUAGUUUCAAGUACACAAUUUGUAUUUGCGGGGAGAAGAGCAAACGAGGCUAACGGGAGCUGAGUUUGGCUACUGUCUUUCUUGUUGGAAGUGUUUGCAGGAGCCCUUCUGAAGUUGUUGCACGAGAGAAGAAAUAAAUGAGGAAUAGCAGCGUGGCUGAAACCGGCCUCCGGUCACCGAGAGCAGCAUAGACAAUAGCACAAGGAAAGGCGUUAGAAGUUGUUUUCAAUUCUUAGUCUUGGGCAGAGCUGCAGUAUUCGGUUAAUAGUGUUGCAAGAAAAAGGGAGGGGGCUGGCAAUGGGAUACAGCUGUGAAAAAGGCCAACGUGCUCUUGGGCGGGGAGUUCUCAGUAAGGAUGCAGCUGUGCUCGUGCCAGCCCGGGAGAUGAGGAAGCCCAGGGGCAGGCUCCCAGCAUCCAGGUGGUUGGAUCUCACUGCCUGCCCGGUUUGCAGACAGUGCAGUUCCUGGAGCAGAGCAGAGCCAGCAGCUCGAAGUAGAAAUUAUGAUUCGCUGGUGAAUGCGGUGCUGCCUUCUGUAAUGGAGACUGGAAUUUACAGAUGACGUCAAGCUGCUGCUCAUCCUUCCAGCGAUCCUACUCUUUAGAUACUGAAAGCAUCAUCAGUGCAGCUUGUUUGCAGAGCAAGGUGGUGGCAGCUGCUUCUGCCUCUCCUGUGUGCACACACCUGACUGCUCUAAGUCCUGUGCAGGUGCUCUUUGGGCUCUGAACUUCUGCUGCCCGCAUCGUUUCCUUCCUCCUGUUGCUGGUGGAGCUGCUCAGCUUCUUUCUAUCUAUUUGCAUUUCUGAAGAUGAGCAUCAUGCGCUGCAUGGACUCUCACCAAACCUGGCUGUUCUCUCCUGGCUGAGCUGCUGGUGCACGGAGGCCAACCUGUGCCGUGAUGGUGCACGGAGGCCGCUCUGAGCACAGCCUGUGUGGUGGGUGGCACACGGCUGUGGGCUGCAGACCCGUCCUGUGCAGGGCUGCGGUGCUCAGUGCACGUCCUGCGGCCAGGCCAGGCAGGGAGCGGUUGGCGGCAGCAGGUUGGCUGUUCCAGCAUGCACAGCAGCUCUGAGGUUUCGAGGUGUGCCUGACCCUUCUUAUGUAAUCUGCUAAAAUGCCACGUUGUGUAAUGCUGUUGUAUAAGCAGGGUGCAGGCAGGCUUCGGGAUUUCGGCAUCCAGGCAGUGCUUUCUGCCGAGCACUCCCUCCCCUGCAGCCAGGAGGGAAUCGGUCCCAGGGACUUCCCAUCUGCUUCACCGCACACCGGCUCGCAGCUGGGCACCAGGACACGGUGCUGGCUCUGUGCAUUGUUCUUUCGGUUUGGAAAGACUGUCAGUGAUACCAGUUACCAUCUGGAGGCUUUGUGUCAGGAUGAUGGGCGCUGUUAGGGACAGAUGACAACUUUCCGUGCGGCACUGACCCAACUCUUCCUCCCCACGUGCAGGUUGGUGGUUGAGGUGUCUCUGCUGCCUGCCAAUGCCAUGCCAGAGGCCUGGGCCACAGGUCUGGCCCUGUUCUGAAGAUGGCUGCAGCAGGGAGGUGUUGUCUGGAAAAACCAGAAAAGGAGCAGGGGCAAUUGUCCAGGGCUUGAUGGCAGUGAGUGUGCCUGCUAGCAGCUCCCGUACUUCUGGUUUAUGCCUUGGGUCAUGUGUCCGUCACCCCCUUCGUGCUCCAUGACCUGCCACUGACGUGGUGCAGGGCUACAGGUGAUCAGGCUGUUCGGGUGCACUAAAUGCAUUUCUGCUUGCAGAGGCCUCAUGCUUUAUUUAUGCACUUCCUUUACAGAGACCUGUUGUAAUAUAUAAACACAUUCUGCCCAGCACACGGCAGUAAACAACCCGACGACCUGAGAUCACACCUCUGUUCCUUGCACUCUCGGACCUGGCAGCUGGAGCGACACGUGCUCUGAGCGAGGCAGAGGGGCCGUGCGGGCGGGUAGGAAAUGAGUAAUGGUGACUCAUCAGCGCUGGGGGAAGGUGGUGGGUGCUGGGGGGCUGCGGUGCUGGCCGUGAGAGCCGUUCCUCAGUGCACGUCAUCGGGUGGAGGGGCUGUCCUUGGGCUGGGGGUGGUUGGCACGAGCAGCGGAUUCCUGCUCCUGCGUUUAGCAGCGCCUUUCCAGGAGGGAAGCAGAUAUGGGAAGCCCGGUCCUUUGCGAGAUGUGCUGCAGCCGGCGAGCCUGCAUGCUAAUGGAGAGCGACUUUGCAGGAGUUUCCUCACUCCCUGCCCUUCUGUGUCCAGCCAACAUCACCAUGGGUACCAUGCUACCUUUACAAAGCUGUCUCGCGGAGGGAAUGCCAGGUCUUCCACAGCACAGGCAUCUCAAAUGGGUGCUUGAAAUGAGCUCAGAGGGGAAAUGUAUCCAAGUGCUUCUAAUCACACUCCAGUGACAAUGGCACGAUUUGGAACAUGGCAAACAGGCUUUGAAUGUCAGUGCAUUGUUCAUAGUGAGAUAUGUGUCAUGUCGCAUUAGCUCAGGCCGACAGCUACCAGUGGGAAAAUAUUUCUGCGAGUUCCUCAGAGUGCCCCCACCUCCUAUAGGCAGCGACUUGUGCUGUCGUGGUGGCAGCAGAACUGCCCAGCCACGCUGGGAAGCACAGAGACCAUCUGGUGCUGCGUACACAGAGUCGGCCGAGCGCUGUGUCCGAAGGGCAGGCGUGCCUUGUGCUGGACGUGGACUCCCGAAGAACGCAUCUGGCUGUUCAGGAGAUGGAGCCCCGUUUUAUUUCUUGGUAACUUGCGCAUCCCCAGAGCAAUUCCCUGGAGACAUUCAAGGCCAGACUGGA